rnacentral:rRNA from 1 species
GAUGAACGCUGGCGGCGUGCUUAACACAUGCAAGUCGAACGAAGCACUUUUAAUUCUUCGGAAGAGGAAGUGACUGAGUGGCGGACGGGUGAGUAACGCGUGGGUAACCUGCCUUAUACAGGGGGAUAACAGUUAGAAAUGACUGCUAAUACCGCAUAAGCCGAUAGAGUCGCAUGACUUAGUCGGAAAAGAUUUAUCGGUAUAAGAUGGACCCGCGUCUGAUUAGCUAGUUGGUGAGGUAAUGGCCCACCAAGGCGACGAUCAGUAGCCGGCUUGAGAGAGUGAACGGCCACAUUGGGACUGAGACACGGCCCAAACUCCUACGGGAGGCAGCAGUGGGGAAUAUUGCACAAUGGGGGAAACCCUGAUGCAGCAACGCCGCGUGAAGGAAGAAGUAUUUCGGUAUGUAAACUUCUAUCAGCAGGGAAGAAAAUGACGGUACCUGACUAAGAAGCCCCGGCUAACUACGUGCCAGCCGCCGCAGUAAAAC